rnacentral:lncRNA from 1 species
CAGGAAACCUCUACAGCAGGCAUGGGUGUGGGUUUAAAGAUUGUUUGCUGGGAAGAUAGCAGGCAGUUGUCCCUUCUUUUACUGUGCAAGACUGAGCGUGGAUCAGAAUCUGAAGUAAUUUUACAUGCUCGUUGUUAUUCUGAGUGCUUACAUAGUUGGAAGAGCUGCCCUACACUUCGUUACAGGAACACUGGUCUCAAAAUUCUCCCCUCACUUCAGAGUCCACCUGCUCAGUGCCUUCCAACACAGUUGACUUCCUGCUGGCCAGUCACUGCAAGUGUCUGUGCAGAAAGACCACAUCAAUUAACAUUUUUUUGUUGUUAUUUUUAUUGACUCUUCGUGAUAUUUGACACCCGAAAAUGGGAAGGAGUGUCUACCUCGGUGAGACUAAGUAACAAGAGGAAGAGACAACUGAAAACGGUUAAGAGAAACUCAGCCCAGAACAAUGUGGGACAAAGCAUUUAUUUCCUGGAGAUGCUUCUCUAAUGAAAAAGUGCUAUGAGAAAAAUUCCGCCGUCUACAGAGAAUCAGAAAUCAUUCAGAGAAAAUGGAUUAAGGCAAUUUUCCUAUACUUUUUUUAAAAGAAGCGAGCAGUGGAAACAUUUCAUUAUCUCCAUGAGAGAUUCAAAUGCACUUGUGUGUGCUGCAGGGAUAAUGGCAUUUCCUGGGACCCUGAAGGUACUUUGGCCUCAUCCCAUGCCUGGCUAUCGGUGGAAGCUUUCAGUUAUCCAAGCACAAGGAAAAUGUUUGUUUAAAUAAAAAAGGAGUAGCGUGAGGCCAGUUCUGUGGAGUUUCUUAGAGUGUUAUCUUGCAAGACUUUUUAUUUAUUAAUGGUAUUCAGCUUUGACAUUCAGAGGUCAGCCUUGUAAGGCAGCAGAUGCUUGGGACAUGUUUUCACUUGGCGAUGCUGAAGGUGAGAGAGAGCUUUGAAAGGACUGCUGGCAAAAAUGGUGUCUGAGUUUUGAAGUUUUGUAUGCACUCUGAAUAUUACCCCAUGCAGCUUGAAAUCUCAAAGAAAAGUAAAAAAUGCUAUCAUUAUUGACCAAUGGGACUGCAUUUACAAGUGUUCUCAUUUUCCUGGAAAAAAUGACAGUAAAAAUCAC